CCUACGGGAGGCAGCAGUGAGGAAUAUUGGUCAAUGGGCGCAAGCCUGAACCAGCCAAGUCGCGUGCGGGAUGACGGUCCUAUGGAUUGUAAACCUCUUUUGUCGGGGAGCAAGGCUCGACACGUGUGGCGGGCAGGAGAGUAUCCGCAGAAAAAGCAUCGGCUAACUCCGUGCCAGCAGCCGCGGUAAUACGGAGGAUGCGAGCGUUAUCCGGAUUUAUUGGGUUUAAAGGGUGCGUAGGCGGAAGGUUAAGUCAGCGGUCAAAUGUCGGUGCUCAACACCGGCCUGCCGGUGAAACUGGUCUUCUUGAGUGGGCGAGAAGGAUGCGGAAUGCGAGGUGGUGCGGUGAAAUGCAU
rnacentral:rRNA from 1 species